rnacentral:rRNA from 1 species
UACGUAGGGGGCAAGCGUUAUCCGGAUUUACUGGGUGUAAAGGGAGCGUAGACGGCUUGGCAAGUCUGAAGUGAAAGGCAAGGGCUCAACCUUUGGACUGCUUUGGAAACUGUCAAGCUAGAGUGUCGGAGAGGCAAGUGGAAUUCCUAGUGUAGCGGUGAAAUGCGUAGAUAUUAGGAGGAACACCAGUGGCGAAGGCGGCUUGCUGGACGAUGACUGACGUUGAGGCUCGAAAGCGUGGGGAGCAAACAGGAUUAGAUACCCUGGUA